rnacentral:tRNA from 2 species
CGGGAUAUGGCGCAGUUUGGUAGCGCGCUUCCUUGGGGUGGAAGAGGUCGGGAGUUCAAAUCUCCCUAUUCCGACCA